rnacentral:misc_RNA from 1 species
GAUGAAGAACGCAGCGAAAUGCGAUACGUAAUGUGAAUUGCAGAAUUCAGUGAAUCAUCGAAUCUUUGAACGCACCUUGCGCCCUUUGGCUAUUCCGAAGGGCAUGCCUGUUUGAGUAUCAUGAACACCUCAACUCUCAUGGCUUGCCAUGAUGAGCUUGGACUUUUGGGGGUCUUGCUGGCCUGUGGUCAGCUCCUCUCAAAUGAAUUAGCCUGCCAGUGUUUGGUGGCAUCACAGGUGUGAUAACUAUCUACGCUUGUGGUUUUCCACCAGGUAACCUUCAGUGAUGAAGGUUCGCUGGGGCUCAUAAACGUCUCUCCUCAGUGAGGACAGCUCUUUGAACGUUUGAUCUCAAAUCAGGUAGGACUACCCGCUGAACUUAAGCAUAUCAAUAAGCGGAGGA